AUGUGGUACCAGGCUUUCGCUCAGCGUGUGAAACAGAAGCCCUACAGUCUGGAGAUUUAUACUGCAUGUUAAGGCUUGCUUGUCUAAAAUCUUUUUCAAGACUGCACGUAACAGCCUUCAUAUCCCCCGUGUAGGGUCCACACCCAGCACCACUGAGCAAGUUUGUGAGCAGUGUGAGCACGGCCAAGCUGACCCUGGAAGAGGCCUACAGGCGGCUGAAGCUUCUCUGGAGAGUCUCACUCCCCGAGGAUGGCCAGUGCCCCCUUCACUGUGAGCAGAUUGGAGAAAUGAAGGCAGAGGUCACCAAACUACAUAAAAAAUUGUUUGAACAAGAAAAGAAGUUGCAAAACACCAUGAAGCUUUUGCAGCUGAGCAAGCGCCAGGAAAAAGUCAUCUUUGAUCAAUUGGUCGUAACCCACAAAAUCCUUCGGAAGGCCAGAGGAAACCUGGAGCUUAGGCCUGGGGGAGCCCAUCCAGGAACAUGCAGUCCCAGCAGACCAGGCUCCUGAGAAGAACUUUCAGCCAAUAAAGCUUGUGCUUCCCCCACCG
rnacentral:lncRNA from 1 species